rnacentral:rRNA from 1 species
AGAGUUCAAGAGUACGUGAAACCGUUCAGGGGUAAACGGGAGAAAUCCUGAAUUCGAAAGGGGCCGGAUUCAGCUCGAUCCGAAUGUUCGGGGCGCAGGUACCAGAUGGCGCCGGUCGCCCGCGGCGAUUCAUUUCGCUUGCGGUGUCGUUCCCGGCGUUCACUCGGUGCAAUGGCGUCAUCAGGCGUCGGAGAGGUGCACUUCCACCCUAGUAGAAACGUCGCGACCCGUUGGGUGCCGGCCUAAGGCCCGGGAAGGCAGACCACGCGUCCUGCGGGUGAUCUCGCAGGCGUGCGGACUCCUGGUGACCCGGCCGGCUGCCCGACGGUAUGACCAGAGGAGUCGAUCCGCUAAAUGGGAAACACUGUGGCUGUGUAGCGUCCGGCCCGGCGCCGACUUGUGCGGGGAUUGAGGUGCAAACCGGGGGUGCCCGUGCGAAGCACGGCCCCGGCCCCGUCGCUUGUCGGGUCAGCCGGUGUCCUCGGACUGGAUCGAUACUCCCGUCUGCGACGCCCAUCUUCGGAUGGUCUCCA